GACGGAGGGGGCUAGCGUUGUUCGGAAUUACUGGGCGUAAAGAGCGCGUAGGCGGUCUAGCAAGUUGGAAGUGAAAGCCCGGGGCUUAACCUCGGAAUUGCUUUCAAAACUGCUGGACUUGAGUAUGGUAGGGGUGAUAGAAUUCCUAGUGUAGAGGUGAAAUUCUUAGAUAUUAGGAGGAAUACCGGUGGCGAAGGCGGUCACCUGGGCCAUUACUGACGCUGAGGUGCGAAAGCGUGGGGAGCAAAC
rnacentral:rRNA from 1 species